UCGGAUAGUGGCGCAAUCGGUAGACGCCCGCGCCUUAAAAGCGACGAGUCCGGAAGGAAUGCGAGUUCGACCCUCGCCGCACGCACCA
rnacentral:tRNA from 1 species